UACGGGGGGAGCAAGCGUUGUUCGGAAUUACUGGGCGUAAAGGGCGCGUAGGCGGCCUUCUAAGUCAGACGUGAAAUCCCCCGGCUUAACCUGGGAACUGCGUCUGAUACUGGGAGGCUUGAGUAUGGGAGAGGGAUGUAGAAUUCCAGGUGUAGCGGUGAAAUGCGUAGAUAUCUGGAGGAAUACCGGUGGCGAAGGCGGCAUCCUGGACCAUAACUGACGCUGAGGCGCGAAAGCUAGGGGAGCAAACGGG
rnacentral:rRNA from 1 species